rnacentral:rRNA from 1 species
GACGUAGGGAGCGAGCGUUGUCCGGAUUCAUUGGGCGUAAAGAGCGCGUAGGCGGCCGUGCAAGUCGGAUGUGAAAAUCCGGGGCUCAACCCCGGACGUGCAUCCGAUACUGCUCGGCUUGAGGCAGGUAGGGGAGAUCGGAAUUCCUGGUGUAGCGGUGAAAUGCGCAGAUAUCAGGAGGAACACCGGUGGCGAAGGCGGAUCUCUGGGCCUGUCCUGACGCUGAGGCGCGAAAGCUAGGGGAGCGAACAGG